rnacentral:rRNA from 1 species
CCCAGACUCCUACGGGAGGCAGCAGUGAGGAAUAUUGGUCAAUGGGCGAGAGCCUGAACCAGCCAAGUCGCGUGAGGGAGUACUGCCCUAUGGGUUGUAAACCUCUUUUGUCGGGGAGCAAAAGCCGGACGUGUCCGGCUGUGAGAGUACCCGAAGAAAAAGCAUCGGCUAACUCCGUGCCAGCAGCCGCGGUAAUACGGAGGAUGCGAGCGUUAUCCGGAUUUAUUGGGUUUAAAGGGUGCGCGGGCGGAUUUUAAGGUCGGUGGUAAAAUGGUGGGCCCCACCCCCUCCCCGCCAUUGAAACUGGCGCUCUUGAGUGGAAGAGAAGUAUGCGGAAUGCGUGGUGUAGCGGUGAAAUGCAUAGAUAUCACGCAGAACCCCGAUUGCGAAGGCAGCAUGCCGGCUUCCGACUGACGCUGAAGCACGAAAGCGUGGGGAUCGAACAGGAUUAGAUACCCGAGUA